rnacentral:rRNA from 1 species
UACGUAGGGUGCGAGCGUUAAUCGGAAUUACUGGGCGUAAAGCGUGCGCAGGCGGUUAUGUAAGACAGGUGUGAAAUCCCCGGGCUCAACCUGGGAAUUGCGAUGGAGACUGCAAGGCUAGAAUCUGGCAGAGGGGGGUAGAAUUCCACGUGUAGCAGUGAAAUGCGUAGAGAUGUGGAGGAACACCGAUGGCGAAGGCAGCCCCCUGGGUCAAGAUUGACGCUCAUGCACGAAAGCGUGGGGAGCAAACAGG